AUAGAACGCUGGCGGCAGGCCUAACACAUGCAAGUCGAGCGGAUGAAGGGAGCUUGCUCCUGGAUUCAGCGGCGGACGGGUGAGUAAUGCCUAGGAAUCUGCCUGGUAGUGGGGGAUAACGUCCGGAAACGGGCGCUAAUACCGCAUACGUCCUGAGGGAGAAAGUGGGGGAUCUUCGGACCUCACGCUAUCAGAUGAGCCUAGGUCGGAUUAGCUAGUUGGUGGGGUAAAGGCCUACCAAGGCGACGAUCCGUAACUGGUCUGAGAGGAUGAUCAGUCACACUGGAACUGAGACACGGUCCAGACUCCUACGGGAGGCAGCAGUGGGGAAUAUUGGACAAUGGGCGAAAGCCUGAUCCAGCCAUGCCGCGUGUGUGAAGAAGGUCUUCGGAUUGUAAAGCACUUUAAGUUGGGAGGAAGGGCAGUAAGUUAAUACCUUGCUGUUUUGACGUUACCAACAGAAUAAGCACCGGCUAACUUCGUG
rnacentral:rRNA from 1 species